GGAUGAACGCUGGCGGCGUGCUUAACACAUGCAAGUCGAACGAACCUUCGGGUUAGUGGCGGACGGGUGAGUAACGCGUGAGAAUCUGCCCUCAGGAGGGGGACAACAGCUGGAAACGGCUGCUAAUACCCCAUAUGCCGCGAGGUGAAAUGAAUUUCGCCUGAGGAUGAGCUCGCGUCUGAUUAGCUAGUUGGUGUAGGUAAUGGCUCACCAAGGCAUCGAUCAGUAGCUGGUCUGAGAGGAUGAUCAGCCACACUGGGACUGAGACACGGCCUAGACUCCUACGGGAGGCAGCAGUGGGGAAUUUUCCGCAAUGGGCGAAAGCCUGACGGAGCAACGCCGCGUGAGGGAUGAAGGCCUCUGGGCUGUAAACCUCUUUUAUCAAGGAAGAAGACCUGACGGUACUUGAUGAAUAAGCCACGGCUAAUUCCGUGCCAGCAGCCGCGGUAAUACGGGAGUGGCAAGCGUUAUCCGGAAUUAUUGGGCGUAAAGCGUCCGCAGGCGGCCCUUCAAGUCUGCUGUUAAAAAGUGGAGCUUAACUCCAUCAUGGCAGUGGAAACUGUUGGGCUUGAGUGUGGUAGGGGGCAGAGGGAAUUCCCGGUGUAGCGGUGAAAUGCGUACAUAUCGGGGAAAAACACCAGUGGCGAAGGCGCUCUGCUGGGCCAUCACUGACGCUCAUGACGAAAGCCAGGGGAGCGAAAGGGAUUAGAUACCCCUGUAGUCCUGGCCGUAAACGAUGAACACUAGGUGUCGGGGGAAUCGACCCCCUCGGUGUCGUAGCCAACGCGUUAAGUGUUCCGCCUGGGGAGUACGCACGCAAGUGUGAAACUCAAAGGAAUUGACGGGGGCCCGCACAAGCGGUGGAGUAUGUGGUUUAAUUCGAUGCAACGCGAAGAACCUUACCAGGGUUUGACAUCCUGCGAAUCUCUUGGAAACAGGAGAGUGCCUUCGGGAACGCAGUGACAGGUGGUGCAUGGCUGUCGUCAGCUCGUGUCGUGAGAUGUUGGGUUAAGUCCCGCAACGAGCGCAACCCACGUCUUUAGUUGCCAGCAUUUAGUUGGGCACUCUAGAGAGACUGCCGGUGAUAAACCGGAGGAAGGUGUGGAUGACGUCAAGUCAUCAUGCCCCUUACAUCCUGGGCUACACACGUACUACAAUGCUACGGACAAAGGGCAGCAAGUUCGCGAGGACAAGCAAAUCCCAUAAACCGUGGCUCAGUUCAGAUCGUAGGCUGCAACUCGCCUACGUGAAGGCGGAAUCGCUAGUAAUCGCAGGUCAGCAUACUGCGGUGAAUACGUUCCCGGGCCUUGUACACACCGCCCGUCACACCAUGGAAGUUGGCCACGCCCGAAGCCGUUACUCCAACCCUUGUGGAGGAGGACGUCGAAGGUGGGGCUGAUGACUGGGGU
rnacentral:rRNA from 1 species